ACUAAGAACAACAGUUGAAUUCUGCUAGCCCCCGGACUGAAUGUAACUGCAUUCUGUUCCCAACCUCACCCCACUCCAUUUCCCCUAUAUAAUCUUGUCCCCUGGAUCUUGCUGUAAACAGAUUUUGGAUGCUUGUAAGCUCCCUACUUUUUUUGUUGGUA